GAAGCGCGGCGGGCCAGCUUGCAAUUUCAUGACACACUCUCUCCAUUUCUCUGCCUGUCAUGACUUGGUUGAUCGAUGGAGCGGUGGUUUUCAUUGCCCGAUUGAGGAUCAGGAGUUGGGGAGAGAAUUGAAGAGAGUGCAUUGUGAAUUGCAAGCUCCUCCUUUCUUUUCG
rnacentral:pre_miRNA from 19 species